GAUGAACGCUGACAGAAUGCUUAACACAUACAAGUCAACUUGAACUUCGGUUUGGGUGGCGGACGGGUGAGUAACGCGUAAAGAACUUGCCUCACAGAUAGGGACAACAUUUGGAAACGAAUGCUAAUACCUGAUAUUAUGAUUAUAUGGCAUCGUAUAAUUAUGAAAGCUAUAUGCGCUGUGAGAGAGCUUUGCGUCCCAUUAGCUAGUUGGAGAGGUAACGGCUCACCAAGGCGAUGAUGGGUAGCCGGCCUGAGAGGGUGAUCGGCCACAAGGGGACUGAGACACGGCCCUUACUCCUACGGGAGGCAACAGUGGGGAAUAUUGGACAAUGGACCAAGAGUCUGAUCCAGCAAUUCUGUGUGCACGAUGAAGUUUUUCGGAAUGUAAAGUGCUUUCAGUUGGGAAGAAAAAAAUGACGGUACCAACAGAAGAAGUGACGGCUAAAUACGUG
rnacentral:rRNA from 1 species